AUUCUUAGCAAAACUUGUCUCCACCGCUCCUUUUCCUUUGCAAUCUCCCGCUGCAUGUCAUCAUCAAUUGUUUGAUUUUUGCUUAACCUCAACCUUAGAUCAUUCCAUGUGUUCAUGUUUGUUAAAUGCUCAACACUGCUCUCAUGUUCUUGGAGUCUUCCACUGAGACGCUUCCAGUCCCUUAAUCCAUCAGACGCUAGCAAAGACCUGCUCUGGUUUGAUUUGAACAACUUGCAGGCAAAACAAAAAACUUUGUCCAACUCUUUAGAGUAA
rnacentral:rRNA from 1 species